rnacentral:rRNA from 1 species
UAACGCGUGGGUAACCUGCCCUAUACACAUGGAUAACAUACUGAAAAGUUUACUAAUACAUGAUAAUAUAUAUUUACGGCAUCGUAGAUAUAUCAAAGUGUUAGCGGUAUAGGAUGGACCCGCGUCUGAUUAGCUAGUUGGUGAGAUAACUGCCCACCAAGGCGACGAUCAGUAGCCGACCUGAGAGGGUGAUCGGCCACAUUGGAACUGAGACACGGUCCAAACUCCUACGGGAGGCAGCAGCG